rnacentral:lncRNA from 10 species
CCACCAUGCCCAGCUAAUUUUUGUAGAGAUGGGGUUUCACCACGUUGGCCAGGCUGGUCUCAAACUCCUGACCUCAAGUGAUCCGCCCACCUCGGCCUCCCAAAGUGCUGGGAUUACAGGUGAACCAUGGUGCCUGGCCACAAGUGUGCAUUUUUUAAAAUCUAAAAUACAGAAUGAGACUCUGUCUCAAAUAAUAAUAAUAAUAAUAAUAAAAUAAAAUCUAAAAUAAGUAGGUAUGUAUGGAUUCCUUACAAUUGAGUCAGUUUAGGACAAAGGAAGUAAUACAUUAAGUGUAGACAUGGAAAUCAUGAGCUCAAUAAAUUCUGCAGGUAAAAAACAUAAAUAGAAUAAUUUUGCAACGUAUGGAGAAUGGCAUUUCUAAAGUUCCAAGAUCUUCCUUGGCAAAAAGAGGAUUCAGUAAUCAAAUAAAUUUGGGACACAAUACAUAAUAUGGUCACCCUCCCCACUUAAGAGUCAAAUCCUUGGGUAGAUUACAGGUUCCGAGAAGUCCAAUAUAAACUUCUUUCUUAAUUCUAGCUCCACAAAUUCUUAGAAUGUCUCUAUCACUGAAAACAAAUUCUAGCCCAGAAGAGGGUCUAGAAAAAGUUCUCAUCAUGGACUGAUACUCUACACUUGACCCAACAUAUCGUUUCCACAUUCCCAUGGCCUCUGAGGGCUUAGCCCAUAUGUAUUUAUAGAGCCUGAUUCUAAGGGCAUGGCUCAAGUCAGCUACCAAGUAAUGCUCAGGAACAGCAAAAUUCGAGUGCCCAGGAUACAAGAUUAGAACAUGUGAAGCAACUACAGAUUUACUUUUUAUCUACUGGUCUCUUUCACUAGGCUGUGUGCUUAGGGCUGGAAUUUUGCCAUUUGUCUAUUCAUUUAUGUACUACCAACACAAUAAAGUCUGGCACUUACUUAGUACUCAGUGAAUGGGGCACCACCAAAGAGGUGGUGUAAAUUCUUUCCGGUAAGUUCAGUAAUGAAAUGGGCUAGUUUCAUUACCAUGCACCACCACACCUAGCUAAUCUUUGUAAUUUUAGUAGAGACGGGGGUUUAGCCACGUUGCCCAGGCUGGUCUCGAACUCCUGACCUCAAGCAAUCCAUCCACCUUGGCCUCCCCAAGUGCUGGGAUUACAGGUGUGAGCCACUGCCCCUGGCCAAGAUGGAGUCUUGCUAUGUCUCUAUGGACUUGAACCCCUGGACUCAAGUGAUCCUCUCACCUCAGCCUCCUGAGUAGGUGGCACUACAGGCACACACCACUGCACUCAGCUCUAGGUGGACAUUUCUAAGGAUGUGGCAGUGACUAAGACAUAAUAAUCUCUAUCCUCAGGGGCUUCAUGCAUUAGAGAUACUCAUCUGAGCCAUUCUAGUCCUAGAGUCCUAGCCUCUUGCACAAGUUUAGGUACAUUAGAUGUCUAAUUAAUGCUUAUUUGAAUUGAAUUUAGAAACCAUGGCAUGCUUUAUGCAUGAUCAAAAUUUGGCACUUUUUGCGGGCAGAGUCUAUAGUAAGACAGACCAUUCUAGAGACUGCAUCAGAAUGAUCAUAUCUUAAGUAACCAGACCUAUUUUGAUCAUUGUUUUUUGCUUUUUUUUUUUUUUUUUUUUUUGAGAGAGGGUCUUGCUCUGUUGCUCAGGCUGGAGUGCAAUAGCAUGAUCAUGGCUUACUGCAGCCUCAACCGCCCCAGGCUCCCACCUUGGCCUCCUGAGUAGCUGGACCACAGGCACACCACCAUGCCUGGCUAAGUUUUGUAUUUUUUGUAAUGAUGGGGUUUCACCAUGUUGUGCAGGCUGGUCUGGAACUCCUGGGCUCAAGCAAUCCGCCUGCCUUGGCCUCCAAAUGCUGGGAUUACAGGCAUGAGCCACUGCCCCCAGCCAAUCAUCACUACUUUGGAGUCUCCACAACUAGCCAGGAGUCAAAAAAUUUGGCCAGAGAAGCCCCAGAACCCAGAGGAAAUUGAACACUUCAGUCAACAGGAGCCCUAUUGAUGAGAAGGCGGGAAAAAACAAAAAACA